rnacentral:lncRNA from 1 species
CACCAAUCAGGUAGGCUGCUGGGGAAGAAAUCAGGGCCAACUUCAGGAGAUUCGUGUGUGCGGCAGGAUAUCAGUUUUCGAUAAAUAGAAAAGACUGGGCAGAGACCCUUGAAAUUUCAGUUAUUCCUUCUAGAUACAAGCAACCAGGGCAGGACCUCGAUAGGAAGGCCUGUUAACUGGUUCCACCCAAAUUGUGUGCUCAUUUUUCUUACCUCUGAGAGCUAUCUUGUGGCAGGCUACAUCUGGAAGCCUGCAGAGGGUAAAGCACCUUCCUGGUAAGGGGUGCAAGGGCCAGAAGCAGGUGGGAUUCUCAGACAGACAUGGUGGAAAGGGGAAGAAACAGGAAGGAGGAGGUUUGCAACCUAAAACACCACACAUAAAAUCCAUCUCCACCCAAUUGUUGCCUUUCUGUUAACUUACAGCCAACUGCAGUUUAAAACUGAGGAGACCACUUUUUCCUUUCUUUCUUUCUUUUUUAAAGAGAGAGAGAGAGAGAGAGAGAGAGAGAGAGAGAGAGAGAGAGAGAGAAUUUUUUUUUUAAUAUUUAUUUUUUAGUUUCCG